UGGGGUGUCGCCAAGUGGUAAGGCACCGGUCUCUGACACCGGCAUUCGCUGGUUCGAAUCCAGCCACCCCAGCCA
rnacentral:tRNA from 1 species